CGGAGGGAAACCGAGUCUUAACCGGGCGUUAAGUUGCAGGGUAUAGACCCGAAACCCGGUGAUCUAGCCAUGGGCAGGUUGAAGGUUGGGUAACACUAACUGGAGGACCGAACCGACUAAUGUUGAAAAAUUAGCGGAUGACCUGUGGCUGGGGGUGAAAGGCCAAUCAAACCGGGAGAUAGCUGGUUCUCCCCGAAAGCUAUUUAGGUAGCGCCUCGUGAACUCAUCUCCGGGGGUAGAGCACUGUUUCGGCUAGGGGGCCAUCCCGGCUUACCAACCCGAUGCAAACUGCGAAUACCGGAGAAUGUUAUCACGGGAGACACACGGCGGGUGCUAACGUCCGUCGUGAAGAGGGAAACAACCCAGACCGCCAGCUAAGGUCCCAAAGUCAUGGUUAAGUGGGAAACGAUGUGGGAAGGCCCAGACAGCCAGGAUGUUGGCUUAGAAGCAGCCAUCAUUUAAAGAAAGCGUAAUAGCUCACUGGUCGAGUCGGCCUGCGCGGAAGAUGUAACGGGGCUAAACCAUGCACCGAAGCUGCGGCAGCGACACUGUGUGUUGUUGGGUAGGGGAGCGUUCUGUAAGCCUGUGAAGGUGGCCUGUGAGGGUUGCUGGAGGUAUCAGAAGUGCGAAUGCUGACAUAAGUAACGAUAAAGCGGGUGAAAAGCCCGCUCGCCGGAAGACCAAGGGUUCCUGUCCAACGUUAAUCGGGGCAGGGUGAGUCGACCCCUAAGGCGAGGCCGAAAGGCGUAGUCGAUGGGAAACGGGUUAAUAUUCCCGUACUUGGUGUUACUGCGAAGGGGGGACGGAGAAGGCUAUGUUGGCCGGGCGACGGUUGUCCCGGUUUAAGCGUGUAGGUGUGUGUUCCAGGUAAAUCCGGUUCACUUUAACACUGAGGCGUGAUGACGAGGCACUACGGUGCUGAAGCAACAAAUGCCCUGCUUCCAGGAAAAGCCUCUAAGCAUCAGGUAACACGAAAUCGUACCCCAAACCGACACAGGUGGUCAGGUAGAGAAUACCAAGGCGCUUGAGAGAACUCGGGUGAAGGAACUAGGCAAAAUGGUGCCGUAACUUCGGGAGAAGGCACGCUGACACGUAGGUGAAGUGAUUUACUCAUGGAGCUGAAGUCAGUCGAAGAUACCAGCUGGCUGCAACUGUUUAUUAAAAACACAGCACUGUGCAAACACGAAAGUGGACGUAUACGGUGUGACGCCUGCCCGGUGCCGGAAGGUUAAUUGAUGGGGUCAGCGCAAGCGAAGCUCCUGAUCGAAGCCCCGGUAAACGGCGGCCGUAACUAUAACGGUCCUAAGGUAGCGAAAUUCCUUGUCGGGUAAGUUCCGACCUGCACGAAUGGCGUAAUGAUGGCCAGGCUGUCUCCACCCGAGACUCAGUGAAAUUGAACUCGCUGUGAAGAUGCAGUGUACCCGCGGCAAGACGGAAAGACCCCGUGAACCUUUACUAUAGCUUGACACUGAACAUUGAGCCUUGAUGUGUAGGAUAGGUGGGAGGCUUUGAAGUGUGGACGCCAGUCUGCAUGGAGCCGACCUUGAAAUACCACCCUUUAAUGUUUGAUGUUCUAACGUGGACCCGUUACCCGGGUUGCGGACAGUGUCUGGUGGGUAGUUUGACUGGGGCGGUCUCCUCCUAAAGAGUAACGGAGGAGCACGAAGGUUGGCUAAUCCUGGUCGGACAUCAGGAGGUUAGUGCAAUGGCAUAAGCCAGCUUGACUGCGAGCGUGACGGCGCGAGCAGGUGCGAAAGCAGGUCAUAGUGAUCCGGUGGUUCUGAAUGGAAGGGCCAUCGCUCAACGGAUAAAAGGUACUCCGGGGAUAACAGGCUGAUACCGCCCAAGAGUUCAUAUCGACGGCGGUGUUUGGCACCUCGAUGUCGGCUCAUCACAUCCUGGGGCUGAAGUAGGUCCCAAGGGUAUGGCUGUUCGCCAUUUAAAGUGGUACGCGAGCUGGGUUUAGAACGUCGUGAGACAGUUCGGUCCCUAUCUGCCGUGGGCGCUGGAGAACUGAGGGGGGCUGCUCCUAGUACGAGAGGACCGGAGUGGACGCAUCACUGGUGUUCGGGUUGUCAUGCCAAUGGCACUGCCCGGUAGCUAAAUGCGGAAGAGAUAAGUGCUGAAAGCAUCUAAGCACGAAACUUGCCCCGAGAUGAGUUCUCCCUGAGACUUUAGGUCUCCUGAAGGAACGUUGAAGACGACGACGUUGAUAGGCCGGGUGUGUAAGCGCAGCGAUGCGUUGAGCUAACCGGUACUAAUGAACCGUGAGGCUUAACCUUACAACGCCGAAG
rnacentral:rRNA from 1 species